GACAGAGGAUGCAAGCGUUAUCCGGAAUGAUUGGGCGUAAAGCGUCUGUAGGUGGCUUUUCAAGUCCGCCGUCAAAUCCCAGGGCUCAACCCUGGACAGGCGGUGGAAACUACCAAGCUGGAGUACGGUAGGGGCAGAGGGAAUUUCCGGUGGAGCGGUGAAAUGCAUUGAGAUCGGAAAGAACAACCAACGGCGAAAGCACUCUGCUGGGCCGACACUGACACUGAGAGACGAAAGCUAGGGGAGCAAAUGGGAUUAGGAAACCCUAAGUGAGUCCCAGA
rnacentral:rRNA from 1 species